AGCCAGACUCCUACGGGAGGCAGCAGUGGGGAAUAUUGCACAAUGGGGGAAACCCUGAUGCAGCGACGCCGCGUGAAGGAAGAAGUAUUUCGGUAUGUAAACUUCUCUCAGCAGGGAAGAAAAUGACGGUACCUGACUAAGAAGCCCCGGCUAACUACGUGCCAGCAGCCGCGGUAAUACGUAGGGGGCAAGCGUUAUCCGGAUUUACUGGGUGUAAAGGGAGCGUAGGCGGUUUAGCAAGUCAGAAGUGAAAGCCCGGGGCUCAACUCCGGGACUGCUUUUGAAACUGUUGAACUAGAGUGCAGGAGAGGUAAGUGGAAUUCCUAGUGUAGCGGUGAAAUGCGUAGAUAUUAGGAGGAACACCAGUGGCGAAGGCGGCUUACUGGACUGUAAAUGACGCUGAGGCUCGAAAGCGUGGGGAGCAAACAGGAUUAGAUACCCUGGUAAA
rnacentral:rRNA from 1 species